CUACGGGAGGCAGCAGUAGGGAAUAUUGCACAAUGGGCGAAAGCCUGAUGCAGCAACGCCGCGUGCGGGAAGAAGGCCCUAGGGUUGUAAACCGCUUUCAGCAGGGAAGAAAAUGACUGUACCCGAAUAAGAAGGUCCGGCUAACUUCGUGCCAGCAGCCGCGGUAAUACGAAGGGACCUAGCGUAGUUCGGAAUUACUGGGCUUAAAGAGUUCGUAGGUGGUUGAAAAAGUUAGUGGUGAAAUCCCAGAGCUUAACUCUGGAACUGCCAUUAAAACUUUUCAGCUAGAGUAUGAUAGAGGAAAGCAGAAUUUCUAGUGUAGAGGUGAAAUUCGUAGAUAUUAGAAAGAAUACCAAUUGCGAAGGCAGCUUUCUGGAUCAUUACUGACACUGAGGAACGAAAGCAUGGGUAGCGAAGAGGAUUAGAUACCCUCGUAGUCCAUGCCGUAAACGAUGUGUGUUAGACGUUGGAAAUUUAUUUUCAGUGUCGCAGCGAAAGCGAUAAACACACCGCCUGGGGAGUACGACCGCAAGAUUAAAACUCAAAG
rnacentral:rRNA from 1 species